UGUGUAGGCGGCGUGAAAAGUCAGAUGUGAAAUCCGGGGGCUCAACCCCCGAAAUGCAUCCGAUACUGUCAUGCUGGAGGUCUGUAGAGGGGUCUGGAAUUCUCGGUGUAGCAGUGAAAUGCGUAGAUAUCGAGAGGAACACCAGUUGCGAAAGCGAGACCCUGGGCAGAAACUGACGCUGAAACACGAAGGCCAGGGUAGCGAACG
rnacentral:rRNA from 1 species